rnacentral:rRNA from 1 species
AUUGAACGCUGGCGGCAUGCCUAACACAUGCAAGUCGGACGAGUGGCGGACGGGUGAGUAAUAUAUGGGCAUAUGCCCAAUACAGGGGGAUAACGAAUGGAAACGGUGGCUAAUACCGCAUACUAUUGUAGCAGCCCAUAUGGUAUUAGCUAGUUGGUGGGGUAAAGGCCUACCAAGGCGACGAUCCCUAGCUGGUCUGAGAGGAUGAUCAGCCACACUGGGACUGAGAAACGGCCCAGACUCCUACGGGAGGCAGCAGUGGGGAAUCUUCGACAAUGGGCGAAAGCCUGACGCAGCCAGGCCGCGUGUUUGAAGAAGGCCUUGGGGUUGUAAAGUACUUUGGGCAGGGAGGCGGUACCCAAAGAAAAAGCAACGGCUAACUCCGUGCCAGCAGCCGCGGUAAUAC